rnacentral:rRNA from 1 species
UACGUAGGGGGCAAGCGUUGUCCGGAAUCAUUGGGCGUAAAGAGCGUGUAGGCGGCCCGAUAAGUCCGCUGUGAAAGUCCAGGGCUCAACCCUGGAAUGCCGGUGGAUACUGUCGGGCUCGAAUCCGGAAGAGGUGAGUGGAAUUCCUGGUGUAGCGGUGAAAUGCGCAGAUAUCAGGAGGAACACCAACGGCGAAGGCAGCUCACUGGGACGGUAUUGACGCUGAGACGCGAAAGCGUGGGGAGCAAACAGG